UAACCAAUGGGCAAAGGUGAUGGAAUGUCACC
rnacentral:piRNA from 1 species